UACGUAGGGGGCAAGCGUUGUCCGGAAUCAUUGGGCGUAAAGCGCACGUAGGCGGCUGGGUCAGUCGGAUGUGAAAUACCUCGGCUCAACCGAGGAACUGCGUCCGAUACUGCCUGGCUUGAGGUCCGGAGGGGAGAGUGGAAUUCCCGGUGGAGCGGUGAAAUGCGUAGAGAUCGGGAAGAACGCCGGCGGCGAAAGCGACUCUCUGGUCGGAAUCUGACGCUGAGGUGCGAAAGCUAGGGGAGCAAACGGG
rnacentral:rRNA from 1 species